GCUCCAGUGGCGCAAUCGGUUAGCGCGCGGUACUUAUAAGACAGUGCCCCUGUGAGCAAUGCCGAGGUUGUGAGUUCAAGCCUCACCUGGAGCA
rnacentral:tRNA from 1 species